rnacentral:rRNA from 1 species
GACGGAGGGUGCAAGCGUUGUUCGGAAUUACUGGGCGUAAAGGGCUCGUAGGCGGCCAACUAAGUCGGAUGUGAAAUCCCCAGGCUCAACUUGGGAACUGCAUCCGAUACUGGAUGGCUUGAAUUCGGGAGAGGGAUGCAGAAUUCCAGGUGUAGCGGUGAAAUGCGUAGAUAUCUGGAGGAAUACCGGUGGCGAAGGCGGCAUCCUGGACCGACAUUGACGCUGAGGAGCGAAAGCUAGGGGAGCAAACGGG